ACAAACAUGCUAGCUCUUCCACUCAUUCCUAUUCAUAGUUUAACUAAAACAUUUAUCUUUACAGUAUAGGUGAUAGAAACAUAAUUUAAGAAGCAAUAGAAAAAGUACCGUAAGGGAAAGCUGAAAAAGAAAUUAAAUAAAUUAUUAAAGUAAAAAAAAGCAGGAAUAAGUAUCCGUACCUUUUGCAUCAUGAUCUAGUUAGUCAAUUAAGGCAAAACGUCUUUAAGUCUCCAAUCCCGAAACCAGACGAGCUAUUUAUAAGCAGCCUAUUAGGGCUAAUCCGUCUCUGUGGCAAAAGAGUGGAAUGACUUUUAAAUAGAGGUGAUAUACCAAUCGAGCCUGGUGAUAGCUGGUCACUCAAUAAACGAGCUUAAACUCCUCCUUAAAUCUUAUUUUAAUAAACUUUUAUAAUAAUUAAAAUUUAAGAGAAAUUCAAAAGUGGAACAGCACUUAUGAAAAAGGAUACAACCUACAACAAUGGGUAACGAUUAUAUUUAUUUAAGGCAAUUAUACAAGUAGGCCUAAGAGCAGCCACCUAACUAGAAAACGUCAUAGCUCCAAUAACUAUUACCCUUAAAUCCCAAUUUUACCUUCAAAACCCAUUUUACCCAAUGAGUUAAUUUAUAAUUGUAUAAUUGAACCAAUGCUAGAACUAGUAAUAAGAAAAUACAAUUUUCUCUUCAACAGCUCUGUAAAUCAGCACGAAUACUUCACUGAUAACCACCAGCCAUAAAGCCUAAACAAUUUCACUAGACAAAUACUUUCCUUAUACUGUUAAUCCUACACAGGACUGAAAUUAGAAAGACUUAAAGAUUAAGAAGGAACUCGGCAAACUACUAAGCUUCGCCUGUUUACCAAAAACAUCACCUCUAGCAAAUAUACACAUAUUAGAGGCACUGCCUGCCCAGUGAUUUAUAUUCAACGGCCGCGGUAUUCUGACCGUGCAAAGGUAGCAUAAUCACUUGUCUUUUAAAUAAAGAAUAGUAUGAAUGGCAAAACGAAAGCUUAACUGUCUCCUUAAUCUAGUCAAUGAAACUGAUCUCCUUGUACAAAAGCAAGAAUUAAUAAAUAAGACGAGAAGACCCUAUGGAACUUCAAAUACGCACCCAUUUUUAUAUAAAUUUUUUAAAUUAUUGGCCACGCUAUUUUCGGUUGGGGCGACCACGGAGAAUAAUAUAUCCUCCGAGAUAAAAUUACCUAGAAAUACAAAUCAAAGUAAACAAACCAUACACGACCCAAUACAAUUGAUCAACGAACCAAGCUACCCUAGGGAUAACAGCGCAAUCUUCUUCAAGAGUCCAUAUCGCCAAGAAGGUUUACGACCUCGAUGUUGGAUCAGGAUAUCCAGACAGUGCAGCCGCCGUCAAAGGUUUGUUUGUUCAACAAUUAAAAUCCUACGCGAUCUGAGAUCGACCGGAGUAAUCCAGGUCAGUUUCUAUCUAUUAAAUUAUUCUAUUUAGUACGAAAGGACCAAAAGAAUAGGACCAAUGUAACCUACACGUCCUCUAAUAAGUUAUGAAAACAACUAAAUAUUACAAUAUUAUUUACCUUAAACUAUAAGGAUUAU
rnacentral:rRNA from 1 species